AAGUCGUAACAAGGUCUCCGUUGGUGAACCAGCGGAGGGAUCAUUGCUGGAACGCGCCCCAGGCGCACCCAGAAACCCUUUGUGAACUUAUACCUUUUGUUGCCUCGGCGCAUGCUGGUCUCUAGUAGGCCCCUCACCCCGGUGAGGAGACGGCACGCCGGCGGCCAAGUUAACUCUUGUUUUUACACUGAAACUCUGAGAAAAAACACAAAUGAAUCAAAACUUUCAACAACGGAUCUCUUGGUUCUG
rnacentral:misc_RNA from 2 species